UCUCGGCUCGGUGUCGUUCACGCCGCGGGCUGGACGGCUCUGCGGAACCGCCCGUAGUUGCGGUUAUCCGUCAGAUCGAACGGGUUAACCGCGUUCUCUUCCCAGUUCGCGUCGCGGCGGAACCGCCCGUAGUUGUUGUUGUCCGCAAGGUCGAACGGGUUGAACGCCUUCUCUUCCCAGUUGGCGUCGCGGCGGAAUCGACCGAAGUUGUUGUUGUCCGCGAGCGAAAACGGGUUCUUCCAGUCGAAACCCGACACGGGGGCCAUGUCUUCGGCGGCGGCGACGUCGGUCUCUUUCGCGCCGCGGCGGAACCGUCCGUAGUUGUUGUUGUUCUCGAGGUCGAACGGGUUGAACGCCUUCUCUUCCCAGUCCGCGUCGCGGCGGAACCGUCCGAAGUUGUUGUUGUCCGCGAGCGAGAACGGGUUCUUCAGAACGAAACCCGACACGGGGGCCAUGUCUUUGGCGGCGGUUUGCGGCUUCUCGCGGCGGAACCGCCCGACGUUCGCCUUCUGCGUCACCUGCCUCAGCGCCGCCGGGUCGCCUUUAACGAACCCGUCGUGCGAAAACUCGAGGCGCGCGUCGUCGUCGUUGCCGAGCUUGUGGAACCCGUAAUUGUUCAGCUCACGCUUGAAUCCGUUGAUGUUGACGCGCGCGGGGAACACCGGGAGGACGCCGACGAGCUUCUUCUCGAACGCUUUCGCGUCCUUGACGACGAAGGAUUUGCCGUCUUUGUUCCAGGAGACGACGUCGGACGCGGACGGGUCGCUCACGAGCGUGUGAAGCUUCCUGCGACGGCGACGGAAAGAUGUUUCGGAGGGUGAGAAAAAAAAAACACGUGGUCGUCGACGUGCCUGUCGACGUCAACGGGUUGCCUAGGCGCCAGAGACGCCGCGGACGCGCGCGUUCGCGACGGAUAUCGUCGCCGAGCGCGUCGAGUCGCGAGCGGCGCGCGCGAUUCGACGAACGCCGCGUCGCGCGCGACGCGCGCGACGCGCGCGCGAGGCGUCGCGCGCGCCGAAAGUCGCGUCCGACUGCCGACGGCGCCGAGCGACGCGUCUACGUCAUCGGCCCGGUUGCCCAGGUGCCAAAGACGCCGCGGAGGCGCGAGUUCGCGACGGAUAUCGUCGCCGCGCGCGUCCCAUCGCGAGCGACGCGCGCGAUUCGACGAACGCCGCGCCGCGAGCGACGCGAGCGACGCGCGCGCGCGGCGUCGCGCGCGCAGAAAGUCGCGCGCGAUCGCGAAAGACGCGACGUUUCGACGGCACGGGCCGGGCACGUAAGUUAGUGCGGGGAGAAUCGAGGAUCGAGGGGGAGCGCGCACAUUAUGAACGGCGACACCUUGACGCGAUCGAACGCGUAAGGGUUGCACGAAGGGCGGCGAGCGUGAAGGUGCGUGGGGGCCAUCGUUUGUGGAGUGUCGUGUGCGUGCGUGAGGUGGUCGGGCGUGCUGUAGUGCGCGAUGGGUGCGUGUGUUUUCAGGACUUAAACGUCCCGCGAAAAUUGAAACGCCGAGACUUCGCGCCAAGUUUACGAAAGGGCACGGUGCUGAAAGGUGCCCACGAACCGUCGCGAAAAAAUCGUAUGCGCGUCAGUCUGAAAUUAAUACGUGCCUUCGCCGUUCGCGUGCCUCCCACGAAUUCAAGGCGCCGUCCACGGUGGCAAGCACGCCGUGCCGUUACUCUCCCGACGACACUUAUCCGCGCGCGCGUGCCCGCACAGACACGCACACGCACACACUCCGCGAUGGCCGUCUUCCUCGCCGCUCCCGCGUCGCGCGCGUGCGCGACGCGACGAGUCCUCGCGCGAAGCGCGUCCGCGACGGCGACGCGCGCGCGCGCGGCGCCGCGCGUCGCCGCGCGUCGCGAAGUGAGAUCGUCGUCGUCCGCGAGCGCGCGCGGCACCGCAGAUCUUCUCGGGUUCGGGUUCGCGCGCGCGGCGUCCGCCGGACGCGUCGCGCGCUCGUCCGCCGCGGAGACCUCCGGCGACGCGGAGACCUCCGGCGUCGUCCUCCUCGACCCUCCUCCCGCGCCCGCGCCCGUGCCCGCGCCCGCGGCGGCGCCGGCGGCGACGACGACGACGCCGCCCGUCGACGCGUCGCAAACGUCGCUUCGACGCGUCGCGCGACACGUCCACCGCGAGGCGGAGUACGUCUUCGUUCGAUUCUCGCUCCUCGCGACCGGCGCGUUCGUCCUCAUCGGCGUCUGCGCGUCGCUCGCGCUGUCCGCGCUGCUGUUCAGCAUGGGCGUCAAGGAGGUGCUCUACGAAGCCGUGGGCGCGUGGAUGCAAUUCUCGCCGGUGGGGCUCGGUGCGUUCUAUCUCACACUGGUUCCCAUACGACCGCGUCGGCGUGGUGAACGCCGUUCCUUAAGGACUUUUCCCGGCGUCUCUCUCCGCCCAGGGUCCCUCGCUUUCAAUACCCGACCGCGACGCCUUUCAACUAUUACUGACGCCUUUCAACUCCACCCCGACGUCGCGAGAAUAGUCACCGCCGCCGUCGGCGCGCUCGACCGCUUCCUCCUCGGCAUGGUCUGCCUCGUCUUCGGCCUCGGAAGCUUCGAGCUGUUCUUAGCGCGAAGCUCGAGGAAGGAAGAGCAGCAGCUCGCGAAGCGCGUGAACAAGCCGCUGUGGCUGAGAGUGCGGAGCAUAGACGACUUGGAGCACAAGGUUGGCGAGAUCAUCGUCGCGGUGAUGGUCGUCAACCUGCUCGAGAUGUCGCUGCACAUGACGUACUCCAAGCCCGUGGAUUUGGUGUGGGCCGCGCUCGCGGCGUUGGCGUCCGCGGGCGCGCUCGCGCUCCUGCACUGGAGCUCGGAGAAUCACUGCGGGAAGGACGACGACGCGCCCUGCGCGGUGCACUGAGUCGUCCUCUCGCCGCCGUUUGUAGACGCGUGCGCGCGUUCGUUUGUAAUUUCAAUUUUCAAGUCUACCGAAAAAACCGUUUUGCGUUUGCUGCUAUUUUAGGCUACUACUCCUCGUGAGCACCUCACGCGUCCGCGGCGAGGAGGUGCGGUCUGGCGCACUUCAACACGAUGACACGCCCUGCGCGGUGCACUGAGUCGUCCUCUCGCCGCGAGAGCAUCGAAUCGUAUGCGGCGGCGGCGGCUACGCGCUCCUGUUACGAAAGUACUCCUGAAUGUGCUCGCGGACCAGCGCGGCCGCGGCGGCGACUUGCUCGGGGGCGCCCUCGAUGACGCAGACGCCCUGCGAGUCGUUCAACACGCGAAUGGACGCGCCCGUGCGCUCGCGCAACGAGCGGAUGUUGUUACCGCCCUUUCCGAUGAGCCGCGACUCCGCGCCGGCACACGGGAUGGUCUCCCUCGCGACGCCGACGACGGAGCCGGCGGCCGCGCGGUCCGCCCCAGGCGGGGCGCCCAUCACCGCGACCUGCGAGAUGAUCUCGCGAAUGGCAGCGGCGGCGCCCUGCGCGCCGGGUCCGAUGACCUCCGUGACGCCGUGCCCGCGCUUGAGUUGGAUGCACACGCCGAACCUAUCCUGCAAGUCGCGGAUCGUCCCGCCGCCGUGGCCGAUGAUCAUUCCCUCGUGCCCCGCGGUGCCCUCGACGAUGACGACGUCGUUCGCCCCGCCGCCCGCGGCGGCGGCGGAUUGCGCCGCCGCCGCCGCGGGUUCCGCGCCCGCCGGCGCGCCGCGCGCCGGCUGCUUCGCCGGGCGCUCGUCUUCACCUGGUCCCGCGUUCCCGCGCUCUCCCUCUUCCGCGUACGCCGUGUACUUCGCCGCGCUGCCGCGGCACCGAUCCGCGGGGUACUUGGCCGCGUUCUUCGCCAUCUUCGCGCGCGUCGCCGCCGCGAGGUCGACGCCGCACCGAUCCGCGAGGCGCACCAAGUACAGCUGCACGUCCGCGAGCUCGUCCUCGAGCCGCGCUCUGUCCUCGCGCGACCAGCUCGGCAGCCCCGUCGCGCAGUCGUCGUCGCCGCGCCACUGGAACAGCUCCGACACCUCGCCGACCUCGCCGACCAUGGCGAGGAGGACGUUGCGAGGCGAGUGGAACUGAUCCCAGUCGCGCGCGCGCGCGAACGACGCCUGUUCGCGCCUCAGAUCCUCCAGCGUGACGCGCGCGUCGAAGCCGCCGAACGCGGGAGGCGACGGUCGCGCGGCGGCGUCGGCGUCGGCGUCGGCGUCGAACCGCGCGCUGAGCGUCGCGUCGCUUCGGGAUUCGGAGAGCGUCGUCGUCUUGGAACGCAGUUCGAUCGGUUUGUUUCGGCUCUUGUUCACGCGGAUCGGCGGAGGGACGUGCGGCGCGGGAUCGUCGACGUUCCUCGGCGCGUCCGCGUGGCCGUUGCUCCUGACGUCGAAUAUCAUCUUCAUGUGUUUCACGCCGGCGGCGAGGAGGAUGUCGGGGCAUUCCUUCGCGAGAGCGUCCACUUUGCUUCCGGCGCCGUACCAGUCGUGGAGGGUAAGCUUCGACUCGGGGUGCGUUCGGUACAACUCGGAGAUCACGAGGCUCGCGAGCGUGCCGCACGAGCCGGUCAUGUCCGCGAUGGCGUUCGCGUAAUACCGCGGAUCAAUAUAUCGCGGAGGAAUAUUCUCGUACCCUUUAGCCAUCGUGGCUCACCUCUCUCGCGCGCGGGAGUGUUCGCCCGUGCCUCAGAUCUGGAAAAGCGGGUGCCAAAAAAUACUGUAUUUUUAGUAACAGGCUCGCGCCGCGCGUGCGCCACCGUCCUCCUAUCGCAUCGUCCAUCCACCGUGCCUUGAUCCAUCACAUCGCCCUGUACGCCGCCAGGACGUCCUCCACGCGCCCGAACGCCUCGUCGAACUCGCCCUCGCCGACGCCGUGCUCCGCGUACUGAUGCAGAUACGCGCCCGCGUGCUUCAUCUGAGGGCCGUUCCAUACGAAACAGAUGGUUCAUCGGUCAGUUGAAAGGUGGCGCGAUCAAAUGUUGAAACCGAGCGGUGGGUGAAAAACGUUUUUUUUUAACCUGAUACGCCCUCGCGAGCAUCCGCCCGAUCGGCGGACACGCGCUCUGGCAGUUGCUCAGCAGCGUCAACGACGCGUCGUACCCGCAGAAUCGCGCCCCAGAGUGCGAUACAGACAGCGGCGACGGCGUCCACGUUGGGAACAGCCGCGGGUCGGACAACGCGCCGACGUCCGCGUCCUCCGCGCCCUUCCCUCUUAGAAACGCCAUCGCGGCGAGGCACCUCGUGACGACGCGCCCGCCGCCGUCGCCGCCGGGCUCCACCCCCCAGUCUAACCCUUCCUCCAACGUCGUCCCCGUGAGUAACAUCUGCCGCGCGCGCUUGAUCAGCCCGGGCCACGCGAACGUCGUGAAGUCCACGCUCGUCUGCGGCAUCAUCGGCACGGACCGCAGCGACAGAAGACGCAUCGUCGGGUCGCAGCACGCCCCGCGCGAAACGUCGUGGAGCAGCAUCAGCUUCCGUCCGCAUCCCGCGCCGCCCGCGGGUGUUACACCCCUCGCGACGCUCGGGAGUAACACCCCCGCGAGCUGCGUCGCGGCGACGCCGUUCAUGUCGUCGAACGUCGGCCGCUUAAUCUUCAGCGCGCCGACACACGCGCGAUGGAGCUGUUCGUUUUGCACGACGCACACGCCGUCCGACACGUUCAGCAGCGUCGAUAACGUCAACAGCGUGUUGUAGCACUGCACGAUGACCUCGCCGCUCUCGUACGGCCACACGCAGUGGUUCAGGAUCGUCGCGCCGCGGUGCUCGUCGCGGAUCGCCUCGGCGACGAACGCGCCGAGGCCGGCGCCGGUGCCGCCCGCGAGCGACUGCGUCAGGAGGAAUCCGCCGAGGUGGUCGCAUCGCUCCGCCUCGCGUCGAACGAGCUCCAGGGCUUCGUCGCGCACGAGGCCGCCGUAGGUGUUGUACCCGCGCGCCCAGUUGUUCCCGCUGCCGCUCUGGAACGCGAGCGCGCUGUUCGCGUCGUACCGCCAUCUGUGCGACGAGCGCCGCGCGCGCUUGAGCGACGACGCGAUGACUUUCGGUUCCAUGUCGAUCAACACCGCGCGCGCGGUGGGGGAGGAGGAGGAGGAGGAGGAGGAGGACGGCCUCGCCGCGCCGUCGCCGCUGCGGAAGAACGCCUGCGUGCGUGCGGUGGAAGAGAGAGAGAGAACGAGUGCGAGAGGUGAGAUGCGCGAGCGCGGGGGAUGGACGCGGAGGAGGAGAGCGCGGCGCCCGCGGGCGAGGAGAGAAGUCGGCAUCUUCUCUCUCGAGAGUGAGAGAGAGACGACGCGCGCGCGCACCUCGUGAAUCUCGUCGCGGACGCUCGGCGACGACGCCGCCGCCUCCCUCGCGAGCGUGUCGAACAGCUCGCAUCCGACCUGGUUUCCGCACUGCCCGAGCUGCACGGUCACGACCGAGCCGGGCAUCGUCCUCCGCCGCGACCCGUCCUCGACGCGCCGUCUGUGUGGUCGCGCCGCGGUUCAAACUCUGUCGUCCUCGACUCGUCGCUGAUGAAGGCGAGGUGCCGCGUCGUGCUGGCAUAUCGACCGACCAUUGAUCGAGGAGGGGUUCCGAUCAAAAAGUGCUGAAAGGGUUUUUUUAUCGCAAGAACCGAUCAAAAGCUGAACGCAGGUGAAAGAAAAUCCACCUUCUGGUCAGCGCUUCGUAGGAACGCGCCUCUCAUCACUCGUCGAUCGCGCCCCGACGCUCCGCCGCGCUCAUGGUGGACCCGACGCACGAGUACAACCACGACACGUGCCCCGCGUGCGCCGGCCACGGCCAGGUCGCGACGAGCGACGGCUUCGCCGCGUGCGCGUCGUGCAGCGGCAGAGGCGCGUGGGCCCCGCCCGCGUCGUGCUGCGCCGCGCACGACAAGGGCGGUAAUAAAGGAGGAUGCGAGACCGGGCACGGCGCGAGCGACGCGAAGCCCAAGCCGCGGCUGCGGUCGCACGGCGCGUUACCCGCGGCGAACAUGCGCGAGCUCCUGACGCGCGUCGACCUGGAGGACGAGGACGGGAACCUUCUCGACGCGGCGAGCGCGUUCGAGGGGAAAGUCGUCGCGCUCUACUUCUCGUCCGCGACGUGCCCGGCGUGCGCGAGCUUCACGCCGAAGCUCGCGCGGCUCGCGACGGAUCACGCGCGCGACCUCGUCGUCGUGUACGUCGGCGGCGAUCGCACGGAGGCGCAGGCGGAGGGGCCGCACACGCGGGGGCGCGGGUUCCUGCGCGUGCCGUGGCGAUCGGUGCAUCGCGAGGUGUUGCUUCAAUCCUACCGCGUGUUCGCGAUACCGCAGGUGGUGGUCUAUCACCCCGUGCGGCAGAAGACGGUGACGACGUGGGGGCACACCGCGAUCAGGCGCGUUCUGUUCUUCUGUGCCGCGCUCGCCGGUCCUCGAGGACUUUAUUACUUCCCGGCUCGCCGGUCCUCGAGGACUUUAUUACUUCCCGGCUUCGUUUUCUCUCCGCGCAUGCACCCCUCGGUUUCGAUCCCGACGCACACGCCUCGGCGCCUCACGACUCCACCAUUCACGAUUCAUUCACGACAUUCACCUCACGACUCCACCGUUCUGACGCGCCCCCGAACUCCACCCCGACCUCGUCGCUUCGUACUAUGGACCCUCCCUGACCCUCAGCGUGAACCCGGGGAAGUGCGUCAGCGCGUGGAAGAGAGGAGAGACCGGUUACUCGUUGCUGGAGAUGCUCACGCCGAGCUCGUGUUCCGGCGCGUACGACGGCGUGCCCAGCGUCGUCUCCUCGCAGUCGACCGGAUACGCGAAGUGAUAUACUUUAACAUAUGAUACUAUGAUAUAUGUUAUACUAUAUGAUAUAUGUUAUGAUAGUUACCCUCUCGCGUACGUCCCCGGGGCGUCGUCCCGCGGCGGGUUCGCCUCCGUCGGCGACCCGUCGAUCUGCCGAAUGGCUUCGUACACGCCGACGCCCGCGCUCACCGCCAGGUUUAAACUCCGGACGUGGUCCUCGUCUAUGGGUAUCCGGCGUAUGCCCCCGCUCCGCGCGCACGCGUCGUGCGCCUCGUCCGGUAACCCCGUGGUCUCCGCGCCGAAGAGGAGCCAAUCGCCGGGGAGGUACGCGCCCUCUUCCGCGUGCGGCCGGGCGCCGAAUUUGCUGAGGGUCGAGGUCGGGGUGGAGUUCAAAGGCGUCAGGGGUGGAGUUGAAAGGCGUCGAGGUGUGUCGGGAUCGAAAGCAGCGAGGGGGUGGGCGGAGAGAGACGAACGCCGGGAGAGAAAGUCCUCAAGGAAUCGCAUGCACCGCGCCGACGCGGUCGUAUGGGGACCAGCGUGAUGGACACAGAACGCGCCUGAACGCGACCAGACGACCGGGGGCCCCGAGGUCGACGGACCAGUACGCGUAGAACGCGUCCCAGUCGUCGUGCACGCGCACGCACACGCUGUGCCUGCGACGGGCGGGAGGAGAUGGACGAUGAGCGGGAUGGACGGAGGGGCGCGACGGCGACGGGGAGGGGGGAGCGCGUAUCGAUCGAUAGAUCAAUCGGUCGAUCGGUCGGUCUAUCGAUCGGUCGAACGCACCAGUAGUCGAGCCCCGCGCGCUUGAGCUGGCUGUCCUCUAACGUGAACCCUAACGGCCCGACUAAGUGCAGCGGCACGCGCGACGCCGCGCACGUCCGCGCGAUCGUCCCGGUGUUCCCCGGGAUCUGCGGCGAGACGAGCACGACCGCGAGGUCCGCGCGCUGAUUUUCCGCCGCGAGCUCGACGCCGUCGCGGCUCUUUCCGGCGAAGAGGUUCGCCGCGCCGCUCCCGCUCGACGCGCGCGGCGUCGUCGCGUUCGCAUCGCGCGGCGCGGGAGUCGCGCGGUGACGCUUCGCGAGGAGCGCGUUGAACGCGCGCGGGAGGACGAGGUACGGCAUCGCGCGCGGCGUGCGGUGCGGUGCGCUCGCUCAUUCAUACACCGUUGCCCUAAGCUCACGAAACCCCCGAGACUCGACUCGUCCGCGUCCGCCAGCUGUACAACGUUGUACUCAUACUCCGCUCGCUCACGGCGUCCGCGGCGGGGUCUUCGGCCGCGCCGUCGCCGGUCUCGGGCUCGCCAUCGCCGCGAGCGCCGCCCUCGCGGCCCUUUCCGCGAUGCUCCUCCCUCUCCCCGGCGGCGCGACGGUCGAGCUCUGGUCUUCCCGUCCCCCCUCGCCGCGUCGCCGUCGCGCCCACGCCGCCGCCGCCGCUUUCUUCACCGAACCGCCCCCUCCCCCGCCGCCGCCGUCGCCCUCCGCGUUCUCCUUCUCCGCGCCGCGCCGUCGUCCUCGUCCGCGCGGCGUCGGCGUCGGCGGCGAAUAGCGCUCCCGCGGCGUCUCCCCCGCGCCGAGUAACGCUCGGUUCGCGCGCGUUCGCAUCGCCGCUCGGUACGCGCGCGUCGCCGCCGCCUCCACGGUUGCGUCCACCUUCGCGCGCGCGCGCGCCGCGCUCGCGCUCGUCGUCGCGGCGUCCGGCGCCGGCGCCUUCGUCCGCGUCGUCGCGCUCGCCGCGCGCGUCUUCACCGGCGUCGCGAAGAUCUCGCGCGAGGGCGACGUCACGACGAGCACCGCGUCCGUCGCGUCGUCGUCGUCCUCCUCCUCCUCCUCCGACUCCGCGUCGAAGAGACGCGUCGCUCGCGAUGUUGACGAGAACAGCAACGACGCCGCGGCGGCUUCCUUCUCCGCGGUCGCCUCGAGCGCGACGUGCUCGAACAUCUCCGCCGCGCUCGGUCGCGACGGCGGCGGCGACGGCGACGCGACGGGCGCGGCGUUCGCCGCGCGGCGCGCGCACGGCUGACAUCGCGUCUGAGCCGUGGUCGUCGUCGUGGCCAUCAUCACGGCGAGCUCGUGCCUCAGCGACUCGUUCUCGUCUCGCAGCGCCGCGACCUCCGCCUCCGCGGUCUUCGCUCGGAGGAGCGCCGCUCGCAGCCUCGCCUCGGGGGUGUCUUCGAACGCGAACGACGACGCGAGCGCGGCGGCCGCGCGCGGCAUCGUCGCGUCGUCGUGCCUCCCCCCGUCGCGCCAGAUGGAGUGCGGCGCCGCGCCGCGCGAAAUGCCACGCCAGCGCAGCGCAGCAGCGCGACGAGCUGCUUCGGAGUUUGAAAGGCUCGCUCGUUUGGGCGGAGGAAAGAGACGCGCCGCGCGCACUUCAUAACGCGCGAGAGGACGGCCUGAUCGUCGCUUCGCGCCGCCAUGAAGCUCGAUUUCAGCGUCCUGGACGCGCCGACGCGGAAGAUCGACGCGGAGAUCGCGGAGUGGUGCGUCCCCGCGCGCGAUCCCGCGCGCCUCGUCGCCUUCGCGUCCGCCCAGCCCUGAGAUCUCGCGCCUCGAAGAGGCGACGACGACGACGACCGCGCGCUGACCUCGCGCCUCCCCACCCCCUCCGCAUCGCGCCCCCCAACCCUUCCCUCGAUCGCAGCGCCGCGGAGAUCAACUCCGACGUCCACGCGCAGAACUUCAAGCUCCCGAUGGUCGAGAACGUGCGUCGUCCCUCCCCCGAUCCCUCCCCAGCGCGCGCCUCGACGUCAUUUCUUAGGGUUGCCAACGGACGCCGCGCGCGAGAUCCGACGACCGAUCGCCGACCCCCCCCCGCCUCCAUCGAUCCUCCCCCCCAUCCCGCAGUACGACUCGUUCCAGCGCGAGGUCGUGGACUACGUCAAGCCCAACCACGGCACGACGACGCUCGGGUUCAUCUUCGAGCACGGCGUCGUCAUCGCGGUGGACUCGCGCGCGUCGCAGGGGCCGUACAUCUCGUCGCAGACGGUAAAGAAGGUGAUCGAGAUCAACCCGUACCUCCUCGGAACGAUGGCCGGCGGCGCCGCGGACUGCCAGUUCUGGCAGCGGAACCUCGGGAUCCAGUGCCGCCUCCACGAGCUCGAGAACGGCAAGCGCAUCAGCGUCUCCGGCGCGUCGAAGCUGCUGUCGAACACGCUUUACGGCUACCGCGGGCAAGGGCUGUCCAUGGGGACGAUGGUCGCCGGGUGGGAUCUCAACGGCCCGGGUCUGUACUACGUCGACAGCGACGGCACGCGGUUGAAAGGGAAGCGGUUCAGCGUCGGGUCCGGGUCGCUGUUCGCGUACGGCGUGUUGGACCAAGGGUACAGGUGGGAUCUGAGCGUCGAGGACGCGUGCGAGUUGGGGCGAAGGGCGAUCUACCACGCGACGUUUCGAGACGCGUUUUCCGGCGGCACGGUGAGCGUGUAUCACGUGGGGCCGGACGGGUGGACGAAGAUGUCCGGCACGGACGUCGGGGAGCUGCACUACGAGUACUACCCCGCGGAUCCGAUCGCGACGGAGGCGGAGGCGGAGGGAGGGGGGGAGGAGCCGGAGAGCAUGGAGACGUCCGAGCAGAAGUGAGGGUCGCGAGUGGAACGGCGGACGACGGCGGGGCUGUAACGAAACUCCUUAUUUCUCGGAACUGCCGCUCUCGUUUCUUCGACCACGACGCGCGUCCGUCGUUCGCACUGUGCCGCGCGCGCGAUUGGGACGAUACGAUGAUGACCUUGCUCUCGCGCGUCGCGGGCGUGAUGUUCUCCUCGCGCGAUUCCCUCCGCGACCACACGCCUAUCGCGCACCUCUCUCCGAAAACGCCCGAAGAAGAGCGUGCUCCUCCGAAGUCGCGAUACGUGGGCGUGGUCGCGGGCGCGUGGAAGAAAUCAAAAAAGACUUGGGUAGCUCAGCACGGCGGUGAGCUAGGGAGAUUCCCCACCGAGCUCGAAGCCGCGGAGGCGUAUUGCAAAGCACUGGGGUUUCCCGAACCUCUGCUUCGGGUGGAGGGCGAGUGCGGAAGAGCGACAGUAAAACGAGAGCGACUUAAAUACGAGCGGCCGUCUGACUACAAAGCUGCUCCCAAGUCGCGAUACGUAGGCGUAACCGCGAGUGGCAACUGGAAGACCGCGAAGAACAAGUGGCAGUCGACGUUCCGUGGUAAGUACGUGGGCACUUUCGCGACGGAGGAAGAGGCGGCUCAGGCGCACGCGGACGCGAAAGGCUGUCCGGGCCCGGUCCUUCGCGAAGGCGGCCUUCGCAAGCGCAAGAACCCCGACGACGCCGUUCUGGAAGCCGAGGAGGUCAAGGAGGUAGAAUCCGACGAUGAUGAUCGCGAUGAGGUCGUCAUCGUCGAGAAAUUCCCCGACGUCGGCACGCGCGUGAAGAAACGCUUCGGGUCCAAGUCCAGUCGCCGGUGGUGCGAGGGCGCGGUGACGAAAGUCGACGCCGGCGACGACGCGCCCGUGACGGUGACGUUCGACGACGGCGACGUCGAGCGGCUCACCGUCGCGCGGUACGAAUGCGAGUGCGUCGCGCUCCCGGCGUCGCGCACGAAGAAGCUGAAGUGCGUAUACUGUGCGCACGUCCUGUCGGUGACGUAUAAGGAGACCGAGCGCGACGACUUCACGUUCGAGUGUCCGUACGAAGGAUGCGGGAGACCGCUGCGCCUCCCUCGAAAGAAAGAGUGAAUGAAUAGUAAGGUCAGGGCUCGCGUCGUUAAUAAAGAUACGAACGAGACGAACACGACUACUUCUUCUCCUUCUUCGCCUUCUUGUCCUUCUUCGUCUUCUUCGCGUCGCGCGACCCCCCGGGCGACCGGCUCCUCGAUCGACUCCUCGACCCGCUCCGAUCUCGCGACCGCUUCCCCCCGCGGUCGCCCCUCCCGCCGCCGCCGCGAUCGCCGCCGCGAUCGAGCCCGUCCUCGAUCAGCUCGUCCAACAGCGCCUCGCCCUCCUCCAACGCCUCCCUCGCCUUCGCCUCCCUCGCCGCGAGCUUCGCCGUCCACUCCGCGAAGAUCGCCUCGCACUUCUCCGGAUACCCCGGCGCGCUCUGCCGCCCGUCCUCUGUCGCGUCGCGCCCGCGGACGGCGCGGAUCCAAUCGCGAUCCUCGCCCAGCGCCGCCUCCGCCUCCUCCCACGUCGUCGACCCUCGCACCUCCCUCCGCGCGCUCUUUAUGAGCCGCGCGAAGUCGUCGAGCGCCCUGGCCUCGCGCUUGGCGUCGACGCGCGCGCGCUCCUUCGCGCACGCGACCGCGUCCGCGCACGCGCGCGCGAGCGACGCCUCCGGAAGCGGAAGCGACGAUCCCGGGUGAGGUUGAUUCGUCAUCUUAUCGCGCACCGCGUCGGCGAGCGCCGCAACGUCCGUCUCCGCCGUGACCUCCAUCCCGCCGCACGCCACUCUCGCGGUCUCGAUCACGGCGUCGCGCUCCUUCGCGGCGUCCGCCUCGAGCUUCUCCUGCGCGUCCUCGUACAGCUCCUUCGGGCGGCUUCCGCUGAAGUUUUCGCACGCCGCGAUGUACCGCAAAUCGUCCGAAACCGACUUCGCGAAGGUCCGCCACGGCAUCCUCAGCGUGAUCAACCCCGCGCCGACGCGCUCGUCGAUCAUCUCAACAAACGCCUCGCGGUUCUUCCGUUCCGUCCGCAGCCGCUCGAUCCGUUCCGUCUCUCGGUCGUCCGCCUCUUUCUUCUCCAGCUCCUCCAUCAACGCGACGAACGUCUCGAGUCGGUCGACGCGAUCGCACGCGGGCGACCUCGGAUCGUUCGCGCACUGCUCGUGCACUUUCCUCCACACGCUCGUGACCUUCACGCCGCGCUCUACGAGAAGUUCGCGGUACGCCGCCGUCGUCUCUUUCCUCCGUAUCCGCCGCUCCUCGCGCUCGGUCGCGCGUUGGUCGUCGAGGAACUCGCGAAAUAAAUCCUCGCGGUCGCGCGGCGUCUUCACCGCGAGCCACCGCGCGUCCUCCACCAGGUCCUCCGCGAUGUCCUUCAGCCGCGUGCUCUGCGUCACCCACCCGAGCUCGUCCGCGCGCUCGCGCAGCAUGGUCUUGAACGCCUCGCGCGUCGCCUUCUCCGCGAGCCGUUUCUCCUCGCGGUCUUGCUUGGCCUUUUGCGUCUGCCACUCGUUGAAGCACUGUUUCUUUUCUCCGAGCGUCUUGAGCGCGCCGUAGCGUUCGUCUUGGAUGAUGAGGCGCAUCGCGUCCUCCCACUUCAUCCCCGCGGUCGCGUUCUUGUCGCUGAGGAGCUCCUUGAAGGCGUUCUUCGCUUCGUCUUUGUUCGCGUACGUUCGCGGCGCGGCGGACGGAGCGGCGGCGGCGGCUGCAGGAGCGGCGGCCGGAGCGGCCGGAACCGCCGAGCGACCGUUCGCCCUCGGCUUCGCGCCGCCGCCCCCGCCCCCCCCUCCCGCCGCGGCAGCCUUCACCGCCGCCUGCGCGAUCGCCGCCGCCUCCCGCACGACCCUGAGCUCGUCCGGGAUCUGCCACUUUGUCUCCUUCGUGUCCUUGUGGUAGUAGUACGACCGUCCGUCCGCGGCGACGUGCUCCCUCCAUCGCGUCGUCGCGUCCGCGCGCUCCGUCGGCGUCAUCAGCGCUUCCGGCUUCUCGUACGUGCUCUGCCGCGUGAGCGCGUUGAAGAAGUACUCGCGACCGUCCGCGCCGCGGUGGGCGGUCCAGUCCGCCGCGCCGGGCGCGGGCGCGGGCGCGGCGGGCGGGAUCGGCGGCGCGCCGACGCCCGCGGCGGAUCUGUUGGCGCCGGGCGGCCCGGGAGGCGUCGGGAGGGUCCCGGGGGGCGUUCCGCCGGGCGGCGGCGCGCCAGCCCCGGGCGCGGUCAUCCACGCCGGCAGCGUCGCGGCCCUACCGCGUCCGGCCAUGGCGCGAGGGCGCGUCGAACCCUCUUAGAUCUCACCGAGCGCGCCGCGGCCUCGGCGAUCGGAUCAGUGCCGCGAUAAUUCGCUUCGAUCGGCUUCCAGUCGUCCGUCUUCAAGUUUUGCUUUGUUCGUCGACUGACUCGUUGUACUGUAAUCCUUCUUAUCCGAAGUAAGAUUCGUAACGCGACUGCGACUGAUCGAACGAGCGCGUUUAAAUGUAAUAAUACAGUACGGCAUUCAUCUCCCCCUCCCCUAAGCGCAUGAUGCGGUUGUUGGGGGACUACUUCCUCUUCUCGGACCCCGCGCGCCUCCUCUUCGUCGUCUCCGCCUUCUCCUACGGCGUCUUCUUCUUCUUGCUCAGCGUCUCGGACCUCUUCUUCUGCGUCUCCGCCUUCUCCGCCACGGUCUUCUUGCUCAGCGUCUUGCUCAGCGUCGCGAGCAUCUUCUUCUUCGUCUCCGCCUUCUCCGCCACGGUCUUCUUGCUCAGCGUCUUGCUCAGCGACGCGAGCCUCUUCUUCUCCGUCGCCGCCUUCUCCGCGUCGGUCUUCUUGCUCAGCGUCUUGCUCAGCGUCGCGAGCAUCUUCUUCUUCGACGCCGCCUUCUCCGCGUCGGUCUUCUUGCUCAGGUUCUUGCUCCGCGACGCGAGCCUCUUCUUCUCCGACGCCGCCUUCUCCGCGUCGGUCUUCUUGCUCAGCGACGCGAGCCUCUUCUCCUCCGUCGCCGCCUUCUCCGCGUCGGUCUUCUUGCUCAGCGUCUCGAUAAACUUCUCCUUCGACGCCGCCUUCUCCGGGGCGGUCUUCUUGCUCACCGUCGCGAGCAUCUUCUCCUUCGACGCCGCCUUCUCCGCGGCGGUCUUCUUGCUCAGCGUCUCGAUCCUCUUCUCCUUCGACGCCGCCUUCUUUCUCUUCUUCAGUCCGCGCGUCCCCACCCCGGGCGCGUUCUUCGACUGGCCCGUCACCUUCCAGUACUGCUGCCCCUCCUUGAUCCUCUCGGAGAACCACGCCGCCAUCUCCGGCGUGAUCUCGAGCAGGCGGCCGUCCUCCAUGAACUUCGCCAAGAGCGUGUCGAAGGUGCCCUCCGGCCCGCCGAAGUGCACGAACAAGUCCGCCAUGCUUCGGAUGAAGCGCUCCGUGAGCCAUUGCGUCGACCUGAUGGACGUCGCCAAGCACAUGUGACCGGACUUGGUGUGGACAUCACCGUCCAGCUCGGGCCACAGGGCGCGCUCCGCGGGCAUAUCCGCAGGGCAGUGCUUCGCCAUCCAUUCGCGUGCCUGUGAACGGUCGGGGGAGGAAGGGGCGCGCGCGUCAGUCAGAAAACAAGAUCGGGGCGUUGCAGCGCAGCGUCGUCGAAAAAGUCGAGGGGCGUGGGAAAGAAGGAACUCACCGGCCGACCGAAGCCCCCCGCGCGUUCGGGCGUCCCGCAGGCGUUCAACGCCUCGACGAUCAAGUCCUCGAUCAACUUCCUCUCGCGCGUCUCGACGCCUUUCAAGAUGAUCUUGCCGGCGUCGUGACGCCCUGGCCAGGGAAUCAUGUUUGUCAUGAGAAACGAAGGCGCGCGAGCGCGACCGGCCGCGGGCGUGUCACCGAUGUGAACAAAAAACCAGUCCCAGACGUCGGAAACGAGCCGCUUCCCGUCGGCGCGGAGCUUUCGCAAGUUCCCGCGGAGUCCGAUCCCGUCGGUCUCGAAGUGCCCGAUGAUGACGUUGAACUCCUCCUUGAGGCCGCUCUCGUUCCACUCCGCGUCCUCGGGAAGAAGAAUCCGCCUGAAGUGCAGCUUGCGGCCGAGGAACUCGCCGAUGGCGUCGACGAGUUUCUCCAAGUCGCGCUGCGCGGCGUCGAACUUUUCCUUCGGAGAGAGCUUGCACGACGGAUCCGCGCGCGCUUCGAAGCGGUCGCGGAUGUCCUGGACCGUGGCAUUGAACUUCUUUUGCUUCGCGCUCGGUUCAACGACGCGCGUCCUGCCUUGCGCUCUCUUCCUAGCGACCAUGGUGGCCGAAGCGCGCCUGUGGACGAGCGGCGGAGGACGGACGUAUGGUGACGCGCGAAAAAAACGGCGAUGGCGAGAUUCGCGGAAAAGCGAUCGAGGCGCGGCGAGGGGAAGCCGCGCGCGCGUCGGCCGCGGUCGCGCGCGUCCGUCGCGCGCCCGACGGCGCCGCGCGCGCGCGCGCUUGGAUUCGACGCGGGGAAGGAGUCGAGCGCGCGCAACUGAGGGUGCGCGUGCCGCGGGGAGCGAACAGUGACGGACCGCGCGCGGAGCGGCGGUUCGGGCGACGAAAAAAAAGCUGUCAAGUUCGCGUUCAGUUCACAGUUCACAGCUGUACGUGUACACGUACACACUCGUCGCCCCGACGCGUCCUCCUCGUCAGUGUCUCGCCUAGGAUUGGAGUCGAAGCCGGAGACGUAUUACGCUCGCUAUUCCUAAAACGGGUUCGUCUUCGUGGACACCGGCGGCGCUUUCGCGACCGCCUUCGCCGUGACGUCCGCGAGAUGUCUGCCCUUGUGAUACAGCUCCGGGCACCACCGGCGCUUGUACUCGUCCCUCGCCUCGGUCUCCGCGUUGAACACCGCGUUGAGAAAAUCGUCGCGCGUCGUCCCCGGUCGCGCUUCCCAAAUCGCGCGAUUCCGACGCCGCGGCUUGAACACCGGCUCUUUCCUAUCCUCGAAGUCGCUCCUCCACAGGCUCCGCGUGGCGAGUUCGCCCUCCUCGCGAACCGACGCCCACCGCCCGAACCGCCGCGCGUCCAUGCGCGGGUUCCCAAACUCCGCGUCCCAGCGCGCGAGUUCAGUCUCGAGCUCCAACGCGAGCAGUUCCUCUUCCAGUUCGCGCUUAGGGCCAUUCCAUACAAGCGAACGUCGGGGUGGAGUUCAAACGCGUCAGUUGGAGUUGAAAGGCGGCGAGGGCGGGCGUUGAAAGCGAGGGGUGGGCGGAGAGAUGCGCCGGGAAAAGUCCUUAAGGAUCGGCGUUCACCACGCGGACGCGGUCGUAUGGGGACCAGUGUAUAGAACGC
rnacentral:lncRNA from 1 species